rnacentral:siRNA from 1 species
CUGCUGUUUCAACAUAUUUUGC